GAUGAACGCUGGCGGCGUGCUUAACACAUGCAAGUCGAACGGUGAACACGGAGCUUGCUCUGUGGGAUCAGUGGCGAACGGGUGAGUAACACGUGAGCAACCUGCCCCUGACUCUGGGAUAAGCGCUGGAAACGGCGUCUAAUACUGGAUAUGUGACGUGACCGCAUGGUCUGCGUUUGGAAAGAUUUUUCGGUUGGGGAUGGGCGCGCGGCCUAUCAGCUUGUUGGUGAGGUAAUGGCUCACCAAGGCGUCGACGGGUAGCCGGCCUGAGAGGGUGACCGGCCACACUGGGACUGAGACACGGCCCAGACUCCUACGGGAGGCAGCAGUGGGGAAUAUUGCACAAUGGGCGCAAGCCUGAUGCAGCAACGCCGCGUGAGGGAUGACGGCCUUCGGGUUGUAAACCUCUUUUAGCAGGGAAGAAGCGAAAGUGACGGUACCUGCAGAAAAAGCGCCGGCUAACUACGUG
rnacentral:rRNA from 1 species